AGGAUGAACGCUGGCGGCGUGCCUAACACAUGCAAGUCGAACGUCCUGUCUCGCAAGAGGCAGGGAGUGGCGGACGGGUGAGUACCACGUGGGUCAUCUACCGUGAGGUGAGGAAUACCGGCGAGAAAUCGCCGACAAGACCGCAUAGCCUCGGUGCAAGCCGAGGAAAGCUUUCUCGAGAGAGGGAGCGCCACACGAGGAGCCUGCGCCCGAUUAGCUAGCUGGUGGAGUAACGGUUCACCAGGGCGACGAUCGGUAGCUGGUCUGAGAGGACGAUCAGCCACACUGGGAUUGAGAACGGCCCAGACUCCUACGGGGGGCAGCAGUGAGGAAUUUUCGUCAAUGGGGCAACCCUGAACGAGCAACGCCGCGUGCAGGAAGAAGGUUUUCGGAUCGUAAACUGCUUUUCUCGGGGAAGAGAACGGACGGUACCCGAGGAAUCAGCCCGGCUAACUACGUGCCAGCAGCCGCGGUAA
rnacentral:rRNA from 1 species